rnacentral:rRNA from 1 species
CCCUGGGCUUCAACCUUGGGAANNCCAGGUGGAUACUGGGGCANUUAGAAUGUUGUUAGAGGGAAGCGGAAUNCCUGGUGUAGCAGUUGAAAUGCGUAGAGAUCAGGAGGAACAUCCAUGCCGAAGGCANUUACUUGGACCAACAUUGACACUGAGGCACGAAAAGCGUGGGGAGCAAACAGGAUUAGAUACCCUGGGUAGUCCACGCCCUAAACGAUGCGAACUGGAUGUUGGGUGCAAUUUGGCACGCAGUAUCGAAGCUAACGCGUUAAGUUAGCCGCCUGGGGAGUACGGUCGCANGACUGAAACUCAAAGGAAUUGACGGGGGCCCGCACAAGCGGUGGAGUAUGUGGUUUAAUUCGAUGCAACGCGAAGANCCUUACNUGGCCUUGACAUGUCGAGAACUUUCCAGAGAUGGAUNGGUGCNUUCGGGAACUCGAACACAGGUGCNGCAUGGCUGUNNUCAGCUCGUGUNGUGAGAUGUUGGGUUAAGUCCCGCAACGAGCGCAACCCUUGUCNUUAGUUGCCAGCACGNAANGGUGGGAACUCUAANGAGACNGCCGGUGACAAACCGGAGGAAGGUNGGGANGACGUCAAGUCAUCAUGGCCCNUACGGCCAGGGNUACACACGUACUNCAAUGGUANGGACAGAGGGCUGCAAGCCGGCGACGGUAAGCCAAUCCCANAAACCCUAUNUCAGUCCGGAUUGGAGUCUGCAACUCGACUCCAUGAAGUCGGAAUCGCUAGUAAUNGCAGAUCAGCAUUGNUGCGGUGAAUACGUUNCCGGGCCUUGUACACACCGCCCGUCACNCCAUGGGAGUUUGUUGCACCAGAAGCAGGUAGCUUAACCUUCGGGAGGGCGCUUGCCACGGUGUGNNANAANGGGNGCAAA